rnacentral:rRNA from 1 species
GAUGAACGCUGGCGGCGUGCCUAAUACAUGCAAGUCGAGCGAACAGACGAGGAGCUUGCUCCUCUGGCGUUAGCGGCGGACGGGUGAGUAACACGUGUAUAACCUACCUAUAAUACUGGGAUCACUUCGGGAAACCGGAGCUAAUACCGGAUAAUAUAUUGAACCGCAUGGUUCAAUGGUGAAAGACGGCGUUGCUGUCACUUAUAGAUGGAUCCGCGCCGCAUUAGCUGGUUGGGAAGUUAACGGCUUACCAAGGGAACGAUGCGUAGACGAACUGAGAGGGUGGUAGCCCACACGAGAGGUGGACCGCGGUCCAGACUCCUACGAGAGGCACCAGUCUGCAACGGUCCGCAGUGGGCGAAAACCUGGCGGAGCGGCCGCACGUGAGUGAUAAAGGUCCUGCGAUCGUAAUACUCUGUUAUGAGGUGAAAACAAAUGUGUACGUAGAUGAGCACGUCUUGACGGUAACUGAUCAGAAAGCACCGGCUAACUACGUG